GACGAACGCUGGCGGCGCGCCUAACACAUGCAAGUCGAACGAGAGAUGAGGAGCUUGCUCUUCAAAUCGAGUGGCGAACGGGUGAGUAACGCGUGAGGAACCUGCCUCAAAGAGGGGGACAACAGUUGGAAACGACUGCUAAUACCGCAUAAGCCCACGGCUCGGCAUCGAGCAGAGGGAAAAGGAGCAAUCCGCUUUGAGAUGGCCUCGCGUCCGAUUAGCUAGUUGGUGAGGUAACGGCCCACCAAGGCGACGAUCGGUAGCCGGACUGAGAGGUUGAACGGCCACAUUGGGACUGAGACACGGCCCAGACUCCUACGGGAGGCAGCAGUGGGGAAUAUUGCACAAUGGGGGAAACCCUGAUGCAGUGACGCCGCGUGGAGGAAGAAGGUCUUCGGAUUGUAAACUCCUGUUGUUGAGGAAGAUAAUGACGGUACUCAACAAGGAAGUGACGGCUAACUACGUGCCAGCAGCCGCGGUAAAACGUAGGUCACAAGCGUUGUCCGGAAUUACUGGGUGUAAAGGGAGCGCAGGCGGGAGAACAAGUUGGAAGUGAAAUCCAUGGGCUCAACCCAUGAACUGCUUUCAAAACUGUUUUUCUUGAGUAGUGCAGAGGUAGGCGGAAUUCCCGGUGUAGCGGUGGAAUGCGUAGAUAUCGGGAGGAACACCAGUGGCGAAGGCGGCCUACUGGGCACCAACUGACGCUGAGGCUCGAAAGUGUGGGUAGCAAACAGGAUUAGAUACCCUGGUAGUCCACACCGUAAACGAUGAUUACUAGGUGUUGGAGGAUUGACCCCUUCAGUGCCGCAGUUAACACAAUAAGUAAUCCACCUGGGGAGUACGACCGCAAGGUUGAAACUCAAAGGAAUUGACGGGGGCCCGCACAAGCAGUGGAGUAUGUGGUUUAAUUCGACGCAACGCGAAGAACCUUACCAAGUCUUGACAUCCUGCGACGCACAUAGAAAUAUGUGUUUCCUUCGGGACGCAGAGACAGGUGGUGCAUGGUUGUCGUCAGCUCGUGUCGUGAGAUGUUGGGUUAAGUCCCGCAACGAGCGCAACCCUUAUGGUCAGUUACUACGCAAGAGGACUCUGGCCAGACUGCCGUUGACAAAACGGAGGAAGGUGGGGAUGACGUCAAAUCAUCAUGCCCUUUAUGACUUGGGCUACACACGUACUACAAUGGCGUUAAACAAAGAGAAGCAAGACCGCGAGGUGGAGCAAAACUCAGAAACAACGUCCCAGUUCGGACUGCAGGCUGCAACUCGCCUGCACGAAGUCGGAAUUGCUAGUAAUCGUGGAUCAGCAUGCCACGGUGAAUACGUUCCCGGGCCU
rnacentral:rRNA from 1 species